rnacentral:rRNA from 1 species
CCCUUAGAUGUUCGGGGCCGCACGCGCGCUACACUGAAGGAAUCAGCGUGGCUUUCUCCCUGACCCGAAAGGGUUGGGAAACCCGUUGAAUCUCCUUCGUGAUAGGGAUUGGGGCUUGAAAUUGUUCCCCAUGAACGAGGAAUUCCCAGUAAGCGCGAGUCAUAAGCUCGCGUUGAUUACGUCCCUGCCCUUUGUACACACCGCCCGUCGCUACUACCGAUUGAACGGUUUAGUGAGGGCCUCGGAUUGGUCUCGGCCCGCUCUUCACCGGGCGGCGCCGUUGGUCGAGAAGACGCUCGAACUUGAUCGUUUAGAGGAAGUAAAAGUCGUAACA